CCGCUCCCGUUGCUGCCGCCGCCGCCGCCGCGUCAGCAGCGUGCCGCACGUGCCCGUGUUUACGUCCCUCGUGGAGCCGCAGACGUCACAGCCGAAUGGCAACAUUGUGGCGACGCUGAGACUGGAGCUUUAGGAGUCUGCAUUCUGGGUCUGGCUGGGUCGGCGCUGUUGGCCGGGGGCAGAGAGGCGGCGGGGAGGUAGGCCCCGGGCGAGCGGCGGACGCGCGCCUCAGCUCGCAGCUCCGCGGCUCCGCGCAGGCCGGUCCGGCGGCCCAGGGCCCUGCGCUGCGGCAGUGAGCGGCUUGUAAACAGAUCCGGCCGCACGUGACCAUGUGAACUACCUGCUCCGGGCCGCGUAUUGUCUCUUCUGAGAGUCGCACCACAAAGGAGCCGGUGGGUGAGCGGCCGGCGCGCUAAGAUGGCUGCAGGCGCCCGGCAAGGGUGAGCUGGGGGCGCGGCCACCGCGGAGACUCGGCCGGGCGGGCGGCCCCCCUCGCCGGGCACCGGAGCUACCAUGUCGUUCGCGCUGGAGGAGACACUCGAGUCCGACUGGGUGGCGGUGCGGCCCCACGUAUUCGACGAGCGCGAGAAGCACAAGUUUGUGUUCAUUGUGGCCUGGAACGAGAUCGAAGGCAAGUUUGCUAUAACCUGUCACAACCGGACGGCCCAGAGACAGAGGAGCGGUUCCCGGGAACAGGCGGGGACGCCCGCGUCUGAUGGGAGUCGCGGGCCCGGCAGCCCCGCAGCCAGGGGUCGGUCAGAGGCCGCUGCCUCUGCUACAGCAGCGCUCCGGAGUCCCGGGCCACGGAAGAGCCAGGCCUGGGCCGAGGGCGGCUCUCCGCGCAGCGCGCGCAGCCUGAAGGGGGAUCCUCCUCGGGGUCCCGCGGGCAGAGGACCGGAGAGUCCUCUCCGUAGCCCCGCGCGGGCCAAGGCCAGCCCGCUCCGCAGAAGCGCCGAAUCCCGAGAUGCGACCGCCAGUGCCACGCCAGUCCCGCCGGCGCCCCCGGUGUCGUCGGUGCGGGUGGUGAGUGCCUCCGGGGCGGUCUCCGAGGAGAUCGAGGUCCUGGAAAUGGUGAGGGAGGACGAGGCGCCACAGCCGCUCCCGGACUCGGAGCAGCCGCCGUCUGCCGCGGAGCUGGAGUCUCCGGCCGAAGAAUGCAGCUGGGCCGGGCUUUUCUCCUUCCAGGAUCUGCGGGCCGUGCAUCAGCAGCUGUGCUCGGUAAACUCCCAGCUGGAGCCCUGUCUGCCUGUGUUCCCCGAAGAGCCGUCCGGCAUGUGGACGGUGCUGUUUGGGGGCGCCCCCGAGAUGACCGAGCAGGAGAUCGACGCUCUAUGUUACCAACUCCAGGUCUACCUGGGCCACGGCCUGGACACGUGUGGCUGGAAGAUCCUUUCUCAGGUUCUUUUCACCGAGACGGAUGAUCCGGAGGAGUAUUACGAAAGCCUCAGCGAGCUGCGGCAGAAGGGCUAUGAAGAGGUGCUUCAGCGGGCCAGGAGGCGCAUCCAGGAGCUCUUGGACAAGCACAAGACUAUAGAAAGCAUGGUAGAGCUUUUGGACUUAUAUCAGAUGGAGGACGAAGCCUACAGCAGCCUUGCAGAGGCUACAACUGAGCUCUACCAGUAUUUACUUCAGCCAUUCCGAGACAUGCGAGAACUUGCCAUGCUACGAAGACAGCAGAUCAAGAUUUCCAUGGAGAAUGAUUAUUUGGGCCCUCGAAGAAUUGAGAGUCUACAGAAAGAAGAUGCUGACUGGCAGCGGAAAGCUCACAUGGCUGUUUUGUCUAUUCAGGAUCUCACCGUCAAAUAUUUUGAAAUAACAGCAAAAGCUCAGAAAGCUGUGUAUGAUCGGAUGCGAGCAGAUCAGAAGAAAUUUGGCAAAGCAUCGUGGGCAGCAGCUGCCGAACGAAUGGAAAAACUCCAGUAUGCAGUUUCUAAAGAGACUUUGCAGAUGAUGCGAGCUAAAGAAAUUUGUCUGGAACAGAAGAAACAUGCACUAAAAGAAGAGAUGCAAAGCUUACAGGGUGGCACAGAAGCUAUAGCUCAAUUGGAUCAGCUAGAAUCUGACUACUACGAUCUGCAACUUCAGUUGUAUGAAGUACAGUUUGAAAUCUUGAAGUGUGAGGAGUUGUUACUAACCGCACAGCUGGAGAGCAUCAAAAGGCUUAUAUCAGAAAAGAGAGAUGAAGUGGUAUACUAUGACACUUACGAAAGCAUGGAGGCCAUGCUGGAGAAGGAAGAGAUGGCAGCGUCUGUGCACGCCCAGAGAGAAGAGCUACAGAAACUGCAGCAGAAGGCACGCCAGCUGGAAGCAAGAAGGGGCCGUGUCUCAGCCAAGAAAGCCUACCUCAGAAAUAAAAAAGAAAUUUGCAUUGCAAAACACCACGAGAAGUUCCAGCAGCGUUUUCAGAGUGAAGAUGAAUAUAGAGCCCAUCAUACAAUACAGAUAAAGAGAGACAAAUUGCAUGAUGAAGAGGAAAGAAAAAGUGCCUGGGUUAGCCAAGAGAGACAGAGGACACUGGAUAGACUUCGAACAUUUAAGCAGAGGUACCCCGGGCAAGUCAUCCUUAAAUCGACCAGAUUACGAGUGGCGCAUUCACGAAGAAAAAGCACAGCAAGCCCUGUGCCCUGUGAGGAGCAGUGUCACUCUCUGCCAGCAGUGCUGCAGGGGCAGGAGAAGACAGAGGUGGGGGAAGGAGGAAGCCAGCUUGGGCCUUCACAGACAGCAGAACCCCGAAGCCUUGUCCAACUUGAAGACACUUCAUCAGAACAACUUGAAUCCACCUCAUUACCUCCUCGUGCUGUUGUCAGCCCUGAACUGCCUCCUCCACAGUCAGCUCCACUGCUGACUAGUAUUGACCCCAAACCGUGUUCUGUUACUAUAGAUCCUCUCCCACCCCCUCUUCCUCCAACACCUCCCCCUCCCCCUCCACCCCCUCCACCCCCUCCCCCACCCCUGCCUGUUGCAAAGGACAAUGGGGCCUCCACCACUGCAGAGACACUGGAGAAAGAUGCACUUAGGACGCAGGGCAAUGAGAGGAGCAUCCCAAAGUCAGCCAGUGCACCUGCGGCACACCUCUUCGAUAGCAGCCAGCUGGUCAGCGCCCGGAAAAAGCUCAGAAAGACUGCGGAAGGGCUGCAGAGGAGGAGAGUGAGUUCACCCAUGGAUGAAGUGUUAGCAUCCUUGAAGCGUGGUAGCUUUCAUCUGAAAAAGGUUGAACAGCGAACUCUGCCUCCUUUUCCUGAUGAAGAUGAUAGUAAUAAUAUUUUGGCGCAGAUAAGGAAAGGGGUAAAGUUGAAGAAGGUUCAGAAGGAAGUUUUGAGAGAAUCCUUCACACUUCUGCCUGAUAGCGACCCUUUGACACGGAGUAUCCACGAAGCUCUAAGAAGAAUCAAAGAAGCGUCCCCAGAGUCAGAGGAUGAGGAUGAGGCUUUGCCUGGCACAGACUGGGAGAACUAGCAGGUCUUGGCUGACACGUAAGACAGGGCCUCAGCAUCAUGUAUAUUUCAGGUGACUUAAGAGAGAAGAAAAAUACCCAUGGAUGAAGACUGGCUCUGGUUCCUUUGGGGAAAAAUCUAAGCUCUUGGUCCCACAGUUGGAUUCCAUUAUGUCCUGAGUAUAUUGACAAAGUGGUAUGAAAAAGGAAGCACAGACGGGAGGUUACUACUGUCCAGUCCCUCUCAUUGAUAGUGCAAUGUUCCCGACUGCAGAGAACAAGCCUCCUGGAGACGGCUGUUCCUUCCCUACCACCCCCCCCCAUCUGCCCAAUCAUAAUCUCAUAGUGGCCAGUCCCAUCGCUAAUGAAUUCGAAGAACACUGGGUUGGCAGAGGUCUGCUGUACGAGCUACUUUGGGGUUCAUCUUUCCGUGGACUGAGAAGACUCGUGCCGAAGCACAGCAACUUCCACGUCAGCUUGUAGAGACAGAGACAGGCUACAGAAGAUAUUGAUCGAGGUGGUUAUGGUCAGGAAUUAAAAAAAAAAAAAAACAUCAUGAAAUGCACUUAAAAUUCCCACAUUAUUCAUCUCCAGAGAUGUUCAGUAUCUGAGAAGCCAAUGGAGAUAUACCUAUCAAUGUGUGCACCAGAACAUGACACAUUUAACAAGGCAUAUUUUUAAGAGUCCACAGUCUUACAUUUUGUAAGAGUUUGAAGUUAAAAUUUCCAUGCUUUUAAAAUAGCGUUUCAUAAUUCUGAAUUUAGAAUAGUUUGAAUUUUAUGUGCAUCCUGUUUCUGAGAAGCAAUGCUUUGUAAUUGGAUCUUUUUAGUCUUUUUGUUUGAACUACUGCCUGAUUACUAUAACUCAAGACUUUCCUAUUGAGAAUCACAAAGCAGAUUCAACAGUAGGGAUGCAGAUCACAGGCCUGCACCCGGCUACGUCUUUAUUGUUAUGCUCCAUGGUGAGGAGCAUGUAUUCAGUAAAGGUCCAGAAGGCAGCCAGGCCCGAAGCCUCCAGCUGGCAUUUUAGUGGUUUUGUUUUUUGUUCUUUUAUUCUGUGUAUAGAACUUGAGGAGAGCAUUUGUUGCUGUCACUAAAUCUUUAAACUCACAUGUGUAGAUCCAAUGCUGACCUGGCUGUAUCUUAAAGGGUCCAUUUAUGAAUGGGGCCGGCAGGGAUGGUCACUGGCCUGAUUAUGUGGACAUGCAUGAGGGCAGAUAUGCUGGGCCCAGUUUACAGUACAUUGUAGUGUGUGCUUUAUAUGGAGGAAUUGAAAUACCAAAAAGAACUUCAUUUGUAGAAAGUUCUUCCCCAGCGUUGCCCAGAAACUUCCCUGAAGCGAAAGCCUCUCAAUGCCCGCCAUAGUUUUCCUCCAGGAACAUGGCUUCCUUGUCACUUUUAAGAGAUGUGUUUCUUUAAUUAUGAAAAAUUCUUGUAACGGGUUAUAGAAAACCAAAUUUUUGCACUUAAAACAUUCAUGUUUAUUGAUGAGACUGGGAGCUCAUGUAGCAUUUACUUUAUAUAUUGGUUUUAGUCCAAGCAUAAUUCACACAUCUUGUCCGCAACAAUUAAAACAGCUCUGAUAUAUAAGCCUCAUUCUAAGAUGAUCUGUGUGUCCUUUACACCCCCAGUAAAGCACCAAAAUGUGUUUAACCCAGGGAGUCAUUGGCUAGAUAAAGAAAUAUUUUAAAAGCUUCAAAACUUACAAAUAUUCUAAAAAUCAGCCAUUGUUUAUAAACUUGUAAUAUUUACAGAUCUAUCCAUCGAUGCAUUAUAUAUUCAGGUUCUUUAUUUACUUACUUUUGAGACCAGGCCCUGCUUUGUAGCCCUGGCUGGCCUAGAAUUUGCUGUGCAGACCAGGCACACUCUGCAGCAGUCUGCUUCUCUCUGCCUCUCUUAUAGGUAUGCACCAAGAUGCCUGCAUCCCUGGUUUUUGUUUUUGUUUUUUUUUUUUAAAAGAUUCAUUUUUAAAAUUAUUUUAAAUUAUGUAAACUCUGUACAGAGGCUCUGGCUUGGUUACUAGGAACCAAACGUGGGUCUCCUGAAGGAGCAGUGUGUGCUCUCAAUCUCUGAGCAAUCUCUCCAGUCCCUUUUUUUUUUAAACUAUAGGAAAAUAUGAAAUAUAAUUUAUCAAAAGCCAUUGUGUUGUACUCCGUUUUAGCACCAAAUGCCUGGGCUUUGCAAGUGGGGAUGAACUGGGACAAUGAGCAGCUCUCAGCACAUCCUGACAAUCCAAGAUUACAGCAUGGAGCGAGCCUUCAGCCUGUUUUCAAGUAAAUGAUUUUCUCCCAACAUGCCAGCUUCUCUGCCUCGGGAGUCUUGUUUUUGUACUGGAGCGAGGCUCAGUAGUGAAGUGCAAGACCUUAUAUUCCAUCUCUAGCAUUGCUUCUUAAUCCUCAAGAAAAGAUUUUUACUUCAUAAAAUCACACACAUUGGAGUUACUCAUAAUAAUAUAAUUUAAAAUAACUAGUAUACAUGUGUUCAUCAAAUCACCAGGUGAGCCCUCAUUAAUUUAAAGUGGUUUUAGGGCCCCAGGAAAAUGACAAUAAGCAUGAUGUGUUUUUUCUCCCUUACUUUCCUAACACAGAAGUUUGGCUUAAUUUUAGAUGCAAUCAUCAGACCAUAAGUGAUAAGCUCUGGCCUUCACAGUUCGUUCAUGUGUCUAGUUGUCAUGGCAGUCAAUCACUGUUUCCAGUUCCCAGUGUAGUUAGCCUUCCACGGUGCCCAGUAUCCACAGACACUGCUUGUCUGUGCUGUUCCCAAGGGUUUUAUACUGAAGAUGGGAAAGCAGGAGACGACUAGAUGCUUCAUCUAGUGUUACUCUUCAUACUUGAAUGUCAAAUUUCAAAUAUGUCCCCGAUACAACCAAAAUUAUGUAUGGUAGCCGAUGUACUAUGUAUAGAAAAGAUAUCUCUACAUUAAAGGUCCUAAUUGUAUUUUAGCAGUAAGAAAUUGCUGGAGAAUGAGGAUUUUGGGGUCUAAGCAAUGGCCCUAUUUAAAGAGUGCUUUAUAUAGGGAUGUGAAGUUCAUGAGACAGCAUAAAAACAAUCAUUCCUUAGUUGUUCAUCAUGCACUUAAAACUUUCUUCCCCCUCCCCCUUCCUGAGAUGGGGUUUCUCCAUGUGGCCCUAGCUGCUCUGGAACUCCCUCUAUAGAUCAGGCUGGCCUCAAACUCAGGGAUUUGCCUGCCUCUGCCUCCUGAGUGCUGGGACUAAAGGCAUGUGCGACUACACCUGUUGCAAACUCCAUUUUUAAAAAGAUACUGGUAUGGUAUAAUGAACACUUUGUGGACUUUACAGUGUGUGUGUUCAGAGGGUUCUCAUUUCUAUAAAUAUGAAUGUCGAACAAUCCUUGGUACCACAGUAAGUCCUAGAAUGUGGUAAGUUGCACGGUGUACUGCAGACACCACACAUUAAGAAUUAGAAUUCAGUAGGAUAUAGAAUGACAGCAUCCAUAUGGCAUGGGGGCACGCACAUUGAUACAGUUGCAUUCUCUAGACUCCCUGAGACUUUAUGGGAUUCACCUACAGAAUAUGUUUGUAUUUAUUUAAGCCAAUACUUUGAGUCCAGCCUUGUAAUACACUCAUCAACAGACAUCAAUCUGCACAGUGACUUUGGGUCUUUAGUGGGCCUGUCAGGGAGUUUUGAGCUUUCUUCAUUUUACCAGUAAAAUAAGUAUAGAUCAUGAACAACUGCAGGACAUUUCAGACUGUUGCUCAAGAUGUAAGCACUUGACAGGGGAAGCAGAGACCUUUAAUUUUUCCACAUCUUUGCACUGAAUAUAAAUGAUUAUAUAAAGCUAAAUGUGCAUAUUGAACAUUUUAUUUGUGCUUGGUGUUGCCAGUGACCAUCAAGACUUUAGAUGGAAGAGGGGUGAGAAAGCAGAAGCACCUUACUGCUGAGCACACUGUGUUCAGGCCUCACUACUGCAAUAGUCAGGCCUGAACUUUAUGUUAGAGCACAUUAAAAUCCUGCCUAAUUGCUUGGAAAUAGGAUGGUAUUUUUAGCCUAUUUAUGUAAUGUAACUUAAAAGGUUUUCCCAGAAAGUGAGUUUAUAUUGUUAUCUAAACUAUCCCGUGUGUAAACAGAAGCUUUUAAAGGUAGGAGGCAGUCCUGAUGCAGAGAGAGACAGUGAGAGAGACAGUCCACUAAAUGUUCCCUGAGUUAUGCUAAAGAUGUUCUUAUUUUAAAUUUUUUGUUUUAUCCACAGUAAAUAUACAAUGUGGUAUUUAUAUGACUUAAUUGAUUGAGCUCCAAGUUUAUAAAUGUACCCUCACUUCAAAGCACAUUUUUUGGGCCACUGUAAGGUGCAUAUAGAGAAAAUUCCUCUGAGGUUGACAUGCUAAAGUGUUCAUGAGAGCUGCUUCACUUCCACCCUCAGAGAACCAAAGGGGAAGUUUCAUUUCUUUUUUUUUUUUUGGUAGAUUCAGUUACAGUUAACAGUGGCCCAAUUUGGGGUAUUGGAAAUGAAUAGGGAAGUCAAUGAAAUGUUUAAAAACUAAAGGUAUGGGCGUUAGAGUUGAGUUUUAACCGGAGAAAACAUUUGUUCUUGCAUGUUGUAUAGUUAACUGUCAAGGGGUGCAAUGCGGCAUUUUAGGUUUCUCCAUGCAAAUUCCUUUGUCUUUCCUCUGAAGUCUCUGCAGUCACGGGUGGCAUUUCCCUUUCCUGUGGUUUCCCCUUACUUGUGUGAUGGAACAAGGGUUGCCUCCCAUAGCAGGUUCUUACAAUGUUUUUGACACAGUCCCCACUGCCUUGUUGAAUCUCUCUCUGUAUUGUAUGCACUGCCAAGUGUGAAACCGUAAUACGUAGUUUAAUGAGAAACGGAAGGCUGCAGGUCACUUUGCAUGAGUAAAGCCCACUGGGGCUACAUAAACUGACACUUUUGUCAUUUUACCCAGUUGUGGGUAAAUGAAGAUUACAACGGCAGACUGACUCACCAUUACUUGCUUUGUGCAAUGUUAUAAAGGCAAAACACUAUGCACUGUGCUUGGCUUUACAGAUGGCAUUCCCACCAUGACAUUAAGUGGAUUGUCCACAGCAUACUAUAAAUGCCAUCUCUUGCAAAUUUAUAUACGUAAAUAUGCUCAAUUAACACUCUCAAGUAUUACAAGUAUAAGGAAACUACUAAGCAGGCAUUUAUAGCAAUACUAUAAAAUCUCCAAUCACUGUUUUGACUGUCGCCUUCUCCUUAGUGCAGCCUUUCUGCAUCGUAGUUGCUGCUUUUUUACAUUUCACACUCCUGACUUCAGAGUUAAGUACUUGCUCACCCAGUGUUGCACUCACCUUUCUUAUUGUACAUGCAAUGUAACAACACACAGUUUUGGUGCUUAACAAUAUUCCUUUUUUUCUUUAAUAAAGGAUAUUUAUUUGAAUUAA